AUUUCUAUGGUGUUACGUCAGCACAUUAGAUUUUCAUUCUAAAGGAAUAAAUAUCACGUUUAUUAGAAAUA
rnacentral:tRNA from 1 species